rnacentral:rRNA from 1 species
GGAAAAGAAACCAACAGGGAUUACCUUAGUAACGGCGAGUGAAGCGGUAAAAGCUCAAAUUUGAAAUCUGGCCCUUUCAGGGUCCGAGUUGUAAUUUGCAGAGGAUGUUUCGGUGUCGGCGCCGGGAUAGGUUCCUUGGAACGGGACGUCAUAGAGGGUGAGAACCCCGUCUUCGCCCGGGCCGCCUUCACCUUGUGAAACUCCUUCGAAGAGUCGAGUUGUUUGGGAAUGCAGCUCUAAGUGGGAGGUAAAUUUCUUCUAAAGCUAAAUAACGGCCAGAGACCGAUAGCGCACAAGUAGAGUGAUCGAAAGAUGAAAAGCACUUUGGAAAGAGAGUUAAAAAGCACGUGAAAUUGUUGAAAGGGAAGCUCAUGCGACUAGACUUGUCCGCAGUUGCUCAGCCGCCCUUCUGGGCGGUGUACUCUUCUGUGGGCAGGCCAGCAUCGAUUCGGGCGGCCGGAUAAAGGCCCUGGGAAUGUAGCUCCCCUCGGGGAGUGUUAUAGCCCUAGGCGUAAUGCGGCCAGCCCGGAUCGAGGACCGCGCUUCGGCUAGGAUGCUGGCGUAAUGGUUGUAUGCGACCCGUC